rnacentral:rRNA from 1 species
UACGUAGGGGGCAAGCGUUAUCCGGAUUUACUGGGUGUAAAGGGAGCGUAGACGGCAUGGCAAGUCAGAUGUGAAAGCCCGGGGCUCAACCCCGGGACUGCAUUUGAAACUGUCAGGCUGGAGUGCAGGAGAGGUAAGCGGAAUUCCUAGUGUAGCGGUGAAAUGCGUAGAUAUUAGGAGGAACACCAGUGGCGAAGGCGGCUUACUGGACUGUGACUGACGUUGAGGCUCGAAAGCGUGGGGAGCAAACAGG